rnacentral:rRNA from 1 species
CAGCCGCCGCGGUAAUACGUAGGUGGCAAGCAUUGUCCGGAAUUAUUGGGCGUAAAGGGCUCGCAGGCGGUUUCUUAAGUCUGAUGUGAAAGCCCCCGGCUCAACCGGGGAGGGUCAUUGGAAACUGGGAAACUUGAGUGCAGAAGAGGAGAGUGGAAUUCCACGUGUAGCGGUGAAAUGCGUAGAGAUGUGGAGGAACACCAGUGGCGAAGGCGACUCUCUGGUCUGUAACUGACGCUGAGGAGCGAAAGCGUGGGGAGCGAACAGGAUUAGAUACCCCCGUAGUCCCUGUCUCUUAUAC